AUUGAACGCUGGCGGCAUGCCUUACACAUGCAAGUCGAACGGCAACAUGAUUUCGCGUGCUGGAUUGAUGCGGAGUGGCGAGUGAUGGAGCAAUACAUCCGAACUUGCCCUGGAGAGGGGGGCGAAAAGUCGAAUAAUUCCCUAUUAGAGCAGACGAUCUGAGGGGGGAACCGCGCGGCCUCAAUUCGCCUUGCUCUUGUGGAGCGGCAUGUCUGGUUAGCUAGUUGGUGGGGUAAAGGGCUACCAAGGCGACGAUCUGUAGCUGGUCUGAGAGGACGAUCAGCCACACUGGGACUGAGACACGGCCCAGACUCCUACGGGAGGCAGCAGUGGGGAAUUUUGGACAAUGGGGGCAAGCCUGAUCCAGCAAUGCCGCGUGUGUGAAGAAGGCCUUCGGGUUGUAAAGCGCUUUUGGCCGGAAAGAAAUCGCGCUUACUAAUAUUGGGUGUGAAUGACGGUACCGGAAGAAUAAGCACCGGCUAACUACGUG
rnacentral:rRNA from 1 species